rnacentral:tRNA from 1 species
GCUUUCCGCCCAGUUAACCCCGCUUAACAGGCGGGCGCCGCUAGCUUUGGCUUCUUCUCAGUGGGAAGGG